rnacentral:rRNA from 1 species
AGUGAACGCUGGCGGUAGGCCUAACACAUGCAAGUCGAACGGCAGCACAGGAGAGCUUGCUCUCUGGGUGGCGAGUGGCGGACGGGUGAGGAAUACAUCGGAAUCUACUCUGUCGUGGGGGAUAACGUAGGGAAACUUACGCUAAUACCGCAUACGACCUACGGGUGAAAGCAGGGGAUCUUCGGACCUUGCGCGAUUGAAUGAGCCGAUGUCGGAUUAGCUAGUUGGCGGGGUAAAGGCCCACCAAGGCGACGAAGCGUAGCUGGUCUGAUAGGAUGAUCCGCCACACUGGAACUGAGACACGGUCCAGACUCCUACGGGAGGCAGCAGUUGGGAAUAUUGGACAAUGGGCGCAAGCCUGAUCCAGCCAUACCGCGUGGGUGAAGAAGGCCUUCGGGUUGUAAAGCCCUUUUGUUGGGAAAGAAAUCCAGCUGGCUAAUACCCGGUUGGGAUGACGGUACCCAAAGAAUAAGCACCGGCUAACUUCGUGCCAGCCGCCGCGGUAA